rnacentral:rRNA from 1 species
GUCCACGCCCUAAACGAUGUCAACUGGUUGUUGGGAAUUCACUUUCUCAGUAACGAAGCUAACGCGUGAAGUUGACCGCCUGGGAGUACGGCCGCAAGGUUGAACUCAAGGAAUUGACGGGACCCGCACAAGCGGUGGAUGAUGUGGUUUAAUUCGAUGCAACGCGAAACCUUACCCACCUUUGACAUGUACGGAAUUUUCCAGAGAUGGAUCAGUGCUCGAAAGAGAACCGUAACACAGGUGCUGCAUGGCUGUCGU